rnacentral:rRNA from 1 species
GACGAACGCUGGCGGCGUGCCUAAUACAUGCAAGUCGAGCGGAGUUUUUAAAAGCUUGCUUUUAAAAACUUAGCGGCGGACGGGUGAGUAACACGUGGGCAACCUGCCCUGUAGACUGGGAUAACUUCGGGAAACCGAAGCUAAUACCGGAUAAUCAAUGACACCUCCUGGUGUCACUGUAAAAGUUGGGAUACUAACACUACAGGAUGGGCCCGCGGUGCAUUAGCUAGUUGGUAAGGUAAUGGCUUACCAAGGCGACGAUGCAUAGCCGACCUGAGAGGGUGAUCGGCCACACUGGGACUGAGACACGGCCCAGACUCCUACGGGAGGCAGCAGUAGGGAAUCUUCCGCAAUGGACGAAAGUCUGACGGAGCAACGCCGCGUGAACGAUGAAGGCCUUCGGGUCGUAAAGUUCUGUUGUUAGGGAAGAACAAGUGCUAUUCGAAUAGGGUGGCACCUUGACGGUACCUAACCAGAAAGCCACGGCUAACUACGUGCCAGCAGCCGCGGUAAUACGUAGGUGGCAAGCGUUGUCCGGAAUUAUUGGGCGUAAAGCGCGCGCAGGCGGUUUCUUAAGUCUGAUGUGAAAGCCCACGGCUCAACCGUGGAGGGUCAUUGGAAACUGGGGAACUUGAGUACAGAAGAGGAGAGUGGAAUUCCACGUGUAGCGGUGAAAUGCGUAGAUAUGUGGAGGAACACCAGUGGCGAAGGCGACUCUCUGGUCUGUAACUGACGCUGAGGCGCGAAAGCGUGGGGAGCAAACAGGAUUAGAUACCCUGGUAGUCCACGCCGUAAACGAUGAGUGCUAGGUGUUAGGGGUUUCGAUGCCCUUAGUGCCGAAGUUAACACAUUAAGCACUCCGCCUGGGGAGUACGACCGCAAGGUUGAAACUCAAAGGAAUUGACGGGGGCCCGCACAAGCAGUGGAGCAUGUGGUUUAAUUCGAAGCAACGCGAAGAACCUUACCAGGUCUUGACAUCCUUUGACCACUCUAGAGAUAGAGCUUUCCCCUUCGGGGGACAAAGUGACAGGUGGUGCAUGGUUGUCGUCAGCUCGUGUCGUGAGAUGUUGGGUUAAGUCCCGCAACGAGCGCAACCCUUGAUCUUAGUUGCCAGCAUUCAGUUGGGCACUCUAAGGUGACUGCCGGUGACAAACCGGAGGAAGGUGGGGAUGACGUCAAAUCAUCAUGCCCCUUAUGACCUGGGCUACACACGUGCUACAAUGGAUGGUACAAAGGGCAGCGAAACCGCGAGGUUAAGCAAAUCCCAUAAAGCCAUUCUCAGUUCGGAUUGCAGGCUGCAACUCGCCUGCAUGAAGCCGGAAUUGCUAGUAAUCGCGGAUCAGCAUGCCGCGGUGAAUACGUUCCCGGGCCUUGUACACACCGCCCGUCACACCACGAGAGUUUGUAACACCCGAAGUCGGUGGGGUAACCUUUUGGAGCCAGCCGCCUAAGGUGGGACAGAUGAUUGGGGUG